rnacentral:rRNA from 1 species
GACGAACGCUGGCGGCGUGCUUAACACAUGCAAGUCGAACGGACAGGCCCUGCUUUUGUGGGGUGCUCGAGUGGCGAACGGGUGAGUAACACGUGAGUAACCUGCCCUUGACUUUGGGAUAACUUCAGGAAACUGGGGCUAAUACCGGAUAGGAGCUCCUGCUGCAUGGUGGGGGUUGGAAAGUUUCGGCGGUUGGGGAUGGACUAGCGGCUUAUCAGCUUGUUGGUGAGGUAGUGGCUUACCAAGGCUUUGACGGGUAGCCGGCCUGAGAGGGUGACCGGCCACAUGGGGACUGAGAUACGGCCCAGACUCCUAUGGGAGGCAGCAGGCGGGAAUAUUGCACAAUGGGCGGAAGCCUGAUGCAGCAACGCCGCGUGCGGGAUGACGGCCUUCGGGUUGUAAACCGCUUUCGCCGGUGACGAAGCGUGAGUGACGGUAAUGGGUAAAGAAGCACCGGCUAACUACGUG